AGCGAACGCUGGCGGCAGGCUUAACACAUGCGAGUCGAGCGGGCCCUUCGGGGUCAGCGGCAGACGGGUGAGUAACGCGUGGGAACGUGCCCUUCGGUUCGGAAUAACUCAGGGAAACUUGAGCUAAUACCGGAUACGCCCUUAUGGGGAAUGGUUUACUGCCGAAGGAUCGGCCCGCGUCUGAUUAGCUAGUUGGUGAGGUUAUGGCUCACCAAGGCGACGAUCAGUAGCUGGUCUGAGAGGAUGAUCAGCCACACUGGGACUGAGACACGGCCCAGACUACGAGGGGGGCGAGAGGUGGGAAGUGUGGAAAAAGGGGGGCACCCGGAACCAGGCCGUGCCGGGGGGGUAGAGAGGGCAUGGGGGGGGAAAAGCUCUUUUCUCGGGGAGGAUAAUGCCGGUGCGGGAGAAAAAGGCCCGGGCUAACUCCGUG
rnacentral:rRNA from 1 species